UACAGAGGUCUCAAGCGUUGUUCGGAUUCAUUGGGCGUAAAGGGUGCGUAGGCGGCGGUGUAAGUCGGGUGUGAAAUCCCGGGGCUCAACCCCGGAAUUGCAUUCGAUACUGCAUCGCUUGAGUACUGGAGAGGGAACUGGAAUUUACGGUGUAGCAGUGAAAUGCGUAGAUAUCGUAAGGAAGACCAGUGGCGAAGGCGAGUUCCUGGACAGUUACUGACGCUGAGGCACGAAGGCCAGGGGAGCAAACGGG
rnacentral:rRNA from 1 species